UCUUAUCAAAAAUUUUCUUUCAAAGCAAAGCAGCUCUUAACAUUUUAACUCUUUCUUACAAAUAGAUAAAACUGACAACGGACCUGGUUGUCCGCCGAUGAAGGUGGUCACCAUUCCAAGGAUCGAGGUGAAAUGAGUGUGCAAAACUCACCGAGUUUUUGGUGAACAGAGAAGAAGAGGAUAUCGAAUUAUACUGAAGGUAUUUAUUUUUCUUCCUUACACCAAUUCAUCUUUACUUUAUAUAUUCAUUUAUGCUCCCUUCGUCCUGAUUCUUAUUUGAGAAGGUGGACUUAGGAUUUGGUAAAUUACCUAAGGAAGAAUUGGAUUAGUUGAGAGAUCGAUUAAACUCUAUUAAAGGAAUUUGAAUUAGAGGUAGGAAUUUUCCAACUUGUAUUGAUUGUCAUGACAACCCCAAUGAAUUGGGCAAGCUUAGUAGAACUACACCUAGGCUAGGGAUACAACUAAAUGUGCCUGUUUCUGUGUUGAGUUACUCGUUAUUAAAUUAGUGCAUAUUAGGUGUUCGAUAGAUUGUUUAAUUUCAAGUUUUACUUAUAAUCAAAAACCAUACUUUCUAUUUAGGAAAUUAAUCUAAGUUUAGUAGGUUCUCACGCGUAGAUGCACAUUUUUUCACCUCAACUCCUUAUGGAUUCGACCGUGGCUCAUAUUGGGUAAUUGUACAGCAACAAACCCAAUUUGAUCGCAUAAAUGGGGUCUGACCCCAUUUACGAUUCAGGAAUGAACUACGAUUGCUGCAGCCACAGAACUGGCAAAGUGUUUGCAAAGAAAGCAGCAAUACGAGCACUAGAGUUGUUAGAACUGUAAGAGACUUUCGAGAUUUCAAAAUAUGCUUCUUGAUGAAUCUUUGAGCCUUGAUUCUUAAUAUAUUAACAAAUUUCUCGUUACCAACUCUAUGAUCAUUGCUAAUACAGACUUCUCCUUAUGCUUUCCAGUUUUUUUAGGUAGCCCAUUGAAGAGAUCAGCAAUUUCCUCAUCACUCAAACUUCCUUUUAUAAUCCCUGAUUUCUUGAGUAUUUCCACAUCCUUUGAUGUGUUCACAAUUCCACACAUCAAAUCCAUAUACUCUGC
rnacentral:lncRNA from 1 species